rnacentral:rRNA from 1 species
GACGAACGCUGGCGGCGUGCUUAACACAUGCAAGUCGAACGCUGAAGCUCAGCUUUUGUUGGGUGGAUGAGUGGCGAACGGGUGAGUAACACGUGAGUAACCUGCCCCCUUCUUUGGGAUAACGCCCGGAAACGGGUGCUAAUACUGGAUAUUCACUGGUCUUCGCAUGGGGGUUGGUGGAAAGGGUUUUUCUGGUGUGGGAUGGGCUCGCGGCCUAUCAGCUUGUUGGUGGGGUGAUGGCCUACCAAGGCUUUGACGGGUAGCCGGCCUGAGAGGGUGACCGGUCACAUUGGGACUGAGAUAAGGCCCAGAGUCCUACGGGAGGCAGCAGUGGGGAAGAUUGCACAAUGGGCGCAAGCGCGAUGCAGCGACGCCGCGUGAGGGAUGGAGGCCUUCGGGUUGUGAACCUCUUUCGCUCAUGGUCAAGCCGCAACAAUGGUUGUGGUGAGGGUAGUGGGUAAAGAAGCGCCGGCUAACUACGUG